AAGUUUUUCUGCGCCGUAAAUAUAACGGGGCUAAGCGUAUACCGAAGCUGCGGACUCCUCCGGGAGUGGUAGGGGAGCGUUCCAAUGGCUGUGAAGCAGGCUCGCGAGGGUCUGUGGAGCGAUUGGAAGUGCGAAUGCUGACAUGAGUAGCGAUAAAGCGGGUGAAAAACCCGCUCGCCGGAAGCCCAAGGUUUCCUGUCCAAGGAUCAUCCGGGCAGGGUUAGUCGGUGCCUAAGACGUAGCUGAAAAGCGAAGCCGAUGGGAAACGGGUUAAUAUUCCCGUACCACCAGUUGGGAGCAGAGCAGGGACGGAGAAGGGUAGGUCAGCCAGGCGCUGGUAGUCCUGGUGCAAGCCUGUAGGGAGUGCUCGUAGGAACAAAACGCGGGUGCAAUCUCGAGAGGUGAUGCCGUGGUCUUCGGACCGAAGUGAUUGAUCCCAUGCUUCCGAGAAAAGCUGCGGGGCUGCGAUGAUCGACUGGUGACCGUACCGCAAACCGACUCAGGUGGGCAGGUGGAGAACACCAAGG
rnacentral:rRNA from 1 species